AGGGAGGCUGUGGACAUCCUGCCCA
rnacentral:piRNA from 1 species